UACAGAGGGUGCGAGCGUUAAUCGGAAUUACUGGGCGUAAAGCGCGCGUAGGCGGCUUUGCAAGUCGGGUGUGAAAUCCCUCGGCUUAACCGGGGAACUGCGUCUGAUACUGGAUGGCUUGAGUUUGGGAGAGGGACGUGGAAUUCCAGGUGUAGCGGUGAAAUGCGUAGAUAUCUGGAGGAACACCGGUGGCGAAGGCGGCAUCCUGGACCGGCAUUGACGCUGAGGCGCGAAAGCCAGGGGAGCAAAGCGGG
rnacentral:rRNA from 1 species